rnacentral:rRNA from 1 species
AGUGAACGCUGGCGGUAGGCCUAGCACAUGCAAGUCGAACGGCAGCACAGUAAGAGCUUGCUCUUACGGGUGGCGAGUGGUGGCCGGGUGAGGAAUACAUCGGUAUCUACUUUUUCGUGGGGGAUAACGUAGGGAAACUCACGCUAAUACCGCAUACGAUCUACGGGUGAAAGCAGGGGAUCUUCGGACCUUGCGCGAUAGAUUGAGCCGAUGUCGGAUUAGCUAGGUGGCGGGGUAAAGGCCCACCAAGGCGAGGAUCCGUAGCUGGUCUGAGAGGAAGAUCAGCCACACUGGAACUGAGACACGGUCCAGACUCCUACGGGAGGCAGCAGUGGGGAAUAUUGGACAAUGGGGGCGAGCCUGAUCCAGCCAUACCGCGUGAGUGAAGAAGGCCUUCGGGUUGUAAAGCCCUUUUGUUGGGAAAGAAAAGCAGCAGGUUAAUACCCCGCUGUUCUGACGGUACCCAAAGAAUAAGCACCGGCUAACUUCGUG